UACGUAGGGGGCUAGCGUUGUCCGGAUUUAUUGGGCGUAAAGAGCGUGUAGGCGGCCAGGUAGGUCCGGUGUGAAAACUCGAGGCUUAACCUCGAGAUGUCAUCGGAAACCAUCUGGCUAGAGUCCGGAAGAGGAAAGUGGAAUUCCUGGUGUAGCGGUGAAAUGCGCAGAUAUCAGGAAGAACACCAAUGGCGAAAGCAGCUUUCUGGGACGGUACUGACGCUGAGGCGCGAAAGCCAGGGGAGCGAACGGG
rnacentral:rRNA from 1 species